rnacentral:lncRNA from 1 species
CAUUAUCGCGAAUUAUGAAGCACGAGAAUUUCCUAGAAUCAUCACAUUAUAACAGUAAACUAUACACGAGUACAGUGUGCGUCUCUUCCAUCGGCAGAAAAGUUUCAUCUGUCACGGGUUGAGAACAAGAAUUGGUGUUUUAUUUCUUCCUAUUGCUUUCUGGAUCUUUAACUGUAUCGUGUUUUGUUUCAUCAAUUUUACAACCGCUCUGUAAAUGGGUAUCAAUUACGACCAGGAAAGAAGAGCGGAAAUCACUGGAAAUCACUCGAAACGCUGGAAAAUCAUUGGAAAUAAACGAAAAUCACUUCAGACAAAUGUUAAUGAACCGAAAUAAUUGAUUGGAUUCCCAAGUGAAUGGACAGAUCUUCUGGAACGAUAAAGAACGUUUCUGCGAUUGCAGAUGUCCGAAUGAAAAACGCGUUGUAUGUUGAUAGUCUAACAGGCUGUGUUGCAACUUGGAUCAACGACAUCUAAAAGCCAUGACCGACCUGUUGGGCGGACUUGUCGGAGCAAUUUGCAAAACAAAUAUCUAUAUGCCGAGGCCUUGGUGAUUACGGAAUGUGAAUGAAUGUUCCAGAACUAAAUUAAUUGUAAAUACGUUUCAAGAAAAUGGGUUAUAAUCUAAAGGGCUCCAAUCUCUGUGAAAUUUUACAAACGUAUUCGAUCAUUUUCUCGUAUCUAUGGAAUGUUUGAUUCGAUGCUGCCACUUCGGAAGCAAAUGUGGUCAAGAUUUGAAGAAUUUUUAAGAUUUGAUAAUCGAAGAAGGAAAUAGAAGCUUGAUCCAAGGAUGAGAAAUCUGUCACCUAAUCGUAAGUGGGAAUACGUGAUUCCGAAGAACACGCGAGGACGUUUUAUACCUACAUCAUUCCAGUAACGUGUAAUAUAAUACUCAAGGAAAGUGCGCGUCGUCGGCAGAGAGAAAUGAGUGCCAUGCCGUCGACUGGACACUUAUGUAAUUUUCCUCGCGGAGAAGUUAUACAAUUCCGGCGAGGUAGACGAACGCAUCGGAACCUCGCAGCAGCGGAACAAGGACGAGGGUUUACUUUGGUUAUUAUGUCGUAACGUGAAAGUUGAGGAGUUGUUGGUGUGGUGUUCUGCUCUUUCGAUGCAGGAUAUUAUAGCUUGACCAGUGUCGUGGACGGUUCCAUUAUCGAGAACGCACGGAGAAUGUGCGCGUGCCAUGUUUUUAUGGGGGUUGGGUAUGGAAAACUAAAGGCGGCUCGGAUUCUAUCGGAUUGAAUUUGUUCGCAUUUGCUCUUGGCCCGUCAAAAUUCCCUUGAUCAUCGUAUCUGACGUUAGUAAUGGGUAUGUUUCCAGCUCCUGAUUCUUGCCGAAUCGAAGCCUCGGUUGUCAGGUUCACUGCCAAUCACGUACCGAUUCGAUCUAUUUACGUAAGCAUUUCCUGUUAAAAAAAUUUGGUAUUAUCACGUCUGUGAUUAUUAAGAUGUGGAGCCAUUGUGAAUUGAUUAAUAAAGUUGCUAAUUUUUUCUCGUGAUGUAGUUAUCGUAUUAUGCAGAUAAUAGUAAACAUUGUCGGUUGUAUAAUUUCGUGCGUGACGACAUAUUGUAUUACCGAGAAGACGAGGAAUGCUAUCGGAAUGAAUGUGAUGAUUAUCCAUCAAAUUAUGGAGUGCAAGAUUCUCGUGUCAAUGUGAAAUUGUC